rnacentral:rRNA from 2 species
AGCAGCCGCGGUAAUUCCAGCUCCAAUAGCGUAUAUUAAAGUUGUUGCAGUUAAAAAGCUCGUUAGUUGAAUUUCGGGAUCAAUGUUUCGGUCAUGCCGUUGGUAUGUACUGAUAUUAUUGGUUUCUCACCUUCUAAAGAACCGUAAUGCCAUUAAUUUGGUGUCACGGGGAAUUAGGACUGUUACCUUGAAAAAAUUAGAGUGUUUAAAGCAGGCUCACGCUUGAAUACAUUAGCAUGGUAAUAAUGAAAUAGGACAUCCGAUUCUAUUUUGUUGGUUUCUAGGAUCGAUGUAAUGAUUAAUAGGGAUAGUUGGGGGCAUUAGUAUUCAAUUGUCAGAGGUGAAAUUCUUGGAUUUAUUGAAGACUAACUACUGCGAAAGCAUUUGCCAAGGAUGUUUUCAUUAAUCAAGAACGAAAGUUAGGGGAUCGAAGACGAUCAGAUACCGUCGUAGUCUUAACCAUAAACUAUGCCGACUAGGGAUCGGAUGAUGUUAAUUUUUUAAUGACUCA